UACAGAGGGUGCAAGCGUUAAUCGGAAUUACUGGGCGUAAAGCGUGCGUAGACGGUUGCGUAAGUCAGAUGUGAAAGCCCCCGGCUCAACUGGGGAGGGUCAUUCGAUACUGAUCGACUCGAAGGCAGGAGAGGGUAGUGGAAUUCCCGGUGUAGUGGUGAAAUGCGUAGAUAUCGGGAGGAACACCAGUGGCGAAGGCGACUACCUGGCCUGUUCUUGACGCUGAGGCGCGAAAGCUAGGGGAGCAAACGGG
rnacentral:rRNA from 1 species